rnacentral:ncRNA from 1 species
UGGGGACGUCGCAGCCUCCCCGUUAAAUGGCCACCCCAUUCAAGCGCUGC